AAUAGAUACCCGGGUAGUCCACGCCGUAAACGAUGAGUGCUAAGUGUUAGAGGGUUUCCGCCCUUUAGUGCUGCAGCUAACGCAUUAAGCACUCCGCCUGGGGAGUAUGGUCGCAAGACUGAAACUCAAAGGAAUUGACGGGGGCCCGCACAAGCGGUGGAGCAUGUGGUUUAAUUCGAAGCAACGCGAAGAACCUUACCAGGUCUUGACAUCCCACUGACCGGUAUAGAGAUAUACCUUUCCCUUCGGGGACAGUGGUGACAGGUGGUGCAUGGUUGUCGUCAGCUCGUGUCGUGAGAUGUUGGGUUAAGUCCCGCAACGAGCGCAACCCUUGAUCUUAGUUGCCAGCAUUUAGUUGGGCACUCUAAGGUGACUGCCGGUGACAAACCGGAGGAAGGUGGGGAUGACGUCAAAUCAUCAUGCCCCUUAUGACCUGGGCUACACACGUGCUACAAUGGAUGGUACAAAGGGCUGCAAGACUGCGAAGUCAAGCCAAUCCCAUAAAACCAUUCUCAGUUCGGAUUGCAGG
rnacentral:rRNA from 1 species